rnacentral:rRNA from 1 species
UACAGAGGUCUCAAGCGUUUGUUCGGAUUCAUUGGGCGUAAAGGGUGCGUAGGUGGCGCCGUAAGUCGGGUGUGAAAUUUCGGAGCUUAACUCCGAAACUGCAUUCGAUACUGCGGUGCUUGAGGACUGGAGAGGAGACUGGAAUUCAUGGUGUAGCAGUGAAAUGCGUAGAGAUCAUGAGGAAGACCAGUGGCGAAGGCGGGUCUCUGGACAGUUCCUGACAGCUGGAGGCAACGAAGGCCAGGGGAGCAAACGGG